rnacentral:rRNA from 1 species
AGUGAACGCUGGCGGUAGGCUUAACACAUGCAAGUCGAACGGCAGCACAGUAAGCUCUUGCUCUGACGGGUGGCGGGUGACGGGCGGGUGAUGCGUACAUCGCCAUCUACUUUUUCGGGGGGGAUAACGUAGGGCAACUUACGCUACUACCUCAUACGUCCUACGGGUUGGAGCAGUGUAUCUUCGGACUUUGCGGGUUUGAAUGAGCCGAUGUCGGAUUAGCUAGUUGGCGGGGUAAAGGCCCACCAAGGCGACGAUCCGUAGCUGGUCUGAGAGGGUGGUCGCCGGCACUGGAACGGGGACACGGUCCAGACUCCUACGGGAGGGAGCAGUGGGGAAUAUGGGACAAUGGGGGGAAGCCUGGUCCAGCCAGACCGCGUGUGAGAAGGAGGCCUUCGGGUUGUAAAGACGUUUUGUGGGGAAAGAAAAGCAGCAGGUUAAUACCCAGCGGUUGUGACGGUACGUAAAGAAUAAGCACCGGCUAACUUCGUG